rnacentral:siRNA from 1 species
AUCGUUUACAGCUCACACAUGCA